UAGGCCUGUAACUCAGUGGGUAGAGUGGUUGCCUUACAAGCAAUAAGUCAUCGGUUCGAGUCCGGUUAGGCCUAG
rnacentral:tRNA from 1 species